AUCGCCACCAGGAGUCCAAGCUUGGUUCUCAUUGGCCAUCGCCACCAGGAGUCCAAGCUUGGUUCUCAUUGGCCAUCGCCACCAGGAGCUCUCCUAUGCCUACUUUGUUAUUUUUAAUUGGCUUCAGUUCUUUUUAUUUAGUUGAUUCUGACUCUUUCAUCCCUCUCUCAUUCCAUCUGUAGUCCAAAGACAGGGCAUGAGUUGCUGGAGGAGGCUCGCAGGCAGAGUCUUCCCUUCGCCCAGUGGGAUGGCCCUACUGUAGUGGUCUGGCUGGAGCUGUGGGUGGGUAUGCCAGCCUGGUACGUGGCGGCGUGUCGUGCCAAUGUGAAGAGCGGUGCCAUCAUGUCUGCCCUGUCGGACACAGAGAUCCAGAGGGAGAUUGGCAUCAGUAACCCCCUCCACCGCCUCAAACUGAGACUGGCCAUCCAGGAGAUCAUGUCUCUCACCUCCCCCUCUGCCCCCCCGACCUCCAGAACCUCCACGGGGAACGUGUGGGUCACACACGAAGAGUUGGAGUGCCUUGCGGCCACGCCCUCCACGGUUAGUCUCCCCAAGCCAUUGGGCAGUCACUGGCGCAGGCGACUGGUAGUGAUCUGGUUGGUAGUUGGGUGUUACUCCCUGUGUCUACUUUUCUCACGGUCCUGUUUGUCSAUGUCUGUAUCUUGGUUUGGGCUUUUGGUGUCAGUACGUGUGUUUUUUGUGUGUCUGUCAGUUUGGUUGAAGGCUAAGUUCAGCACAUACUUAGCUUUUGAACAGAAAUGACUGGUUAACAUUAGAUUUGUCUUGUCUUUAUGUACAGUGCCUUGCAAAAGUAUUCAUCCCCCUUGGUGUUUUUCC